rnacentral:rRNA from 1 species
CGCGUAGGCGGACCGAUAAGUCAGAUGUGAAAUCCCGGGGCUCAACCCCGGAACAGCAUUUGAAACUAUCGAUCUAGAGGGUAGGAGGAGAAAUGGAAUUCCACGUGUAGCGGUGAAAUGCGUAGAUAUGUGGAAGAACACCGGUGGCGAAGGCGAUUUCUAUCUUAUACCUGACGCUGAGGCGCGAAAGCAAGAGGAUCAAACA